rnacentral:lncRNA from 1 species
AAACAAUGCUAUGGCAGAAUUUUAGACUGUGGCUACAGUAAUAAAGUACUGCAGCAAAACAAAUGCAUAUCAAGUCAUCGAUGUUGAUAAGAUGUCAGGAAUGCAGUGAUAAAAGAAUAAGGGUGAAAAUUAUAAAAGAGAAAGCAGGAAUGCAGUGGGUAAAAGAAAAAGGAUGAAAGGAGAACUAAAUAUGUGAUCCAUCGUAUGGAAAACUGGUUUGUUCAUUCGUUAAUUCAUUUAAUAAAUAUUUAUUGAACACAGACUUGGUGCUAGGAACUGAGAAUAAAUCAUGAACAAAACAAAGUUUUAGCCUUAAUGAAGCCCACAUUCUGGUGGAAAAACAGAAAAUAAACAAAUAAGUAUAAUGUAAAUAAUAAAUAUUUAAAUUAUAGUAAUAUAAUAUAGUAUAUGCACUAGCAUAUACUAUAAUAUACUAGCAUAUACUAACAUAUACUUGCAUAUACUAGCAUAUACUAGUAAAUGCUAGUAUAUGCACUAGCAUGGAAUGGUAAGUUUUAUAAAGAAAAAUAACACAGAAUGAAGGGUUACAGAGUGACUAGUGCAUGUCAGUGGAGUGGCACUGCAGUUGGGAAGAUAAUAUCUUAACAGAGACCUGAAUUAAAUGAUGGAGAGAGUCCUGUGGAUAUCUGAAGGAAGACUGUCUUAGUCUGUUUAGUGUUGUUGCUGUAACAGAAUACCUGAGACUGGGUAAUUUAUAAAGAAGAGAGGUUUAUUUAGCUCACAGUUCUGCAAGCUGGGAAGUUCAAGGGUAUGGCUCAGGCUUAUGUUGAGGGCUAUUGGUCUACAGCAUAACAUGGUAGAGAAGGUCAAAUGGGCAGUGGAUACAUGCAAAAAGACUAAACCCAAGGGGCAUCCUGGCUUUAUAAAAUCCAACUCUUGGAGAACUAAUUCUGUAUUGGACAUUUCAAUUUUGAGAUGCCUAUUAAACAUCAAUUUAGGUUUAGGCUUAGGAGGUGUUGAGUUGACAGAUGAAUAUAUAAACUGAAGAUCAAGGAAAAUGUCAAGACUGGAGGUACAACACUGAGAAUCAUCAGUGCGUAAAUGAUGUUUAAAAUCAUGGCACUUAAAUCCCACUGGCUAUUAGACCAAAGUGUUGGACCCAGAAAUGAGAAGAUCAUGAUAAAAGGGGACCAACAAUAAGCAAUAAAACCAACCGAGUGUGAAAUCUACUCCAAAUACAAUAAUUUCUAAAAAUUAACUCUCAGAAAAGAAUUACUCUAAAUUUGCGUCCUUAAAAAAAUCUCUCAUAUUAUGGAGAGAGUCCUGUGGAUGUCUGAAGAGAAAGUGUCUUAGUCCAUUUAGUGUUGCUAUAACAGAAUACUUGAGACUGGGUAAUCUAUAAGAAGAGGCAUGAGGGAAAAGACAUGGACAGGCCAUGAAAAAAAUCAAGGACCCAUCUCCCUACAUAGACAGCAUUCUGAUCCAUGGUAAUAAGGCUGAACAAGAAGACCAAUUUGGAAAGGCACUAUUAUGGAAAUGCACCUUCAAAAAAAAAUUUUUUUUUUGAUAUGGAGUCUUGUUCUGUUGCCCGGGCUGGAGUGCAGUGGCGCAAUCUCGGCUCGCUGCAAACUCUGCCUCCCAGGUUCAAGCGAUUCUCAUGCCUCAGCCUCCCAAGUAGCUGGGAUUACAGGUGCCCACCACCACGUCCAGCUAAUUUUUGUAUUUUUUAGUAGCGAUGGGGUUUCACUAUGUGGGCCAGGCUGGUCUCUAACUCCUGGCCUCAGGUGAUCCACCCACCUCGGCCUCCCAAAGUGCUGGGAUUACAGACAUGAGCCACCGUGCCCAGCCUCAAAUUCUUUAUUUUGAACAAAAAUCUUGUUUGGCAAAGAAACAUCAGCCUGAAAUGACCUCAAUCAACACUGGUUUGCAAUGAUUAGAGAUGUCACCUGACAGAAUCAGUAAAUAAGGAAGGCAAAGAAAUUUGACACAGAUUUAGUAAUUAUUGCUAAAGGUCUAUCACCUCACAAUUGCAAGUGUCAAAUGUCUUUGUAAACAAUCCUUCUAAAGCUCACUUGAAAAUCAAUACAGAAAACGGUUGUCUGUGGAAAUCAUGCACAUAUACCAUCAGGACAAAUUAAACAACCAAAAAUCUGUCCGCACAUAAUGGGCUAUUGUGGCUUGGGAUAAAAGUUUCCGUGGGAGCAAACAUAUAGAUACAAACAUAAACGUGUCACAAUGACUCAAAUGGAAAUGAACACAAUGUACUGUGGAAAACUGUGCUGGACGAUUUAAAAAAAAUGGAUCUACUGACGACAGAGACACUAAUGUCCAAGACGCCAGUGAGGAGUUUCAGUAAAAUUGUUUCUUACAACUUUAUUAUUAUAUGAGUAGGAAAAAAGCAGUAAAUUAAAUUACCUUUAUAAUAUAUAAUUUUAAAUUGUAUAUAUAAUGAAACUACUCCAAUAAAAUGUAUAAGUAAAUAUCAAUUUCAAUAAGGUUCUAAAGGUUAUUUAUACUUAAAUUGGCCAAAAUUCUGGAGAAUAUUCUCAACUGGAAAAGGAAUGGAGGUGUUUUAUGUUCUGGGUUAUCCUGUAUUUAAACAUAUAUGGUGCUGGAUAUUCCUAUGGCUAUAAAACUAAAUGCAAAGUUAUAUCAUUAUCUUCAAUUUGGUGGCAUGAGGGAAAGACAUGGACGGGCCAUGAAAAAAAUCAGGGAUUCAUCUCCUGACAUAGACAGCAUUCUGAGCCAUGGUAAUAGCUGAACAAGAAGACUAAAGCCCUCCCCAUUGUUCUGAGUCAGAUUCUUAAUACUGAUAAGGGUACACUCCAAAAAAGGAAGAAAAUGUGUGUGUGUGUGUGUGUAUGUCUGUGUGCAAGCACGCACAAGUGAGCACACACAUGGAUGUCAGGAAGGCAAAGGCAGAAUCAGGGAGGCUGGAAAAUAUCAUUUGGGAAAUAUUUUCAGAGCGAUAGACCAAUAUCUUCAACAAAUACCUGUUGGGUUGGGAAUAUUAUUAAGUUGGUGCAAACAUAAUUGUGGUUUUUGCCAUUAAAAGUCAUAGCAACCUUCAACACAGAAAGCCUAUGGUUAUGAGCUUUUCCUUUAGUUUGACAUCUCUUUGAUAUGGUUGGUCCGCCCCCAAAAAGGAGAAAUAUGUCAGUCAGAAGAGGCAUCCACAGUGGGACAGGGCACUUCCAUGGCUCACGUUGCACAGUGGGUUCAACAAAUAUGGAACAAUGUACCAACUUCCAGUUAAAAAAAUAAUGAAUUGAACCCAAGCUUUGAGCUCUGCUUUCUUUGGAAAUGCCAUUAUAGCAACAAUAAAGGGUUUUAACAAAAAACCAAUAAGGCAAGGACCAAUGGGAAAAAGCAACAUCAAAAUUUUGGAAACUGGAAAGCAGAUAGACAAGCCGAGGACUGAGAAAGUUGAGUUAUAAGCCCACGGAGGGUAAAUUCAAGAACCAACCCAGUUUAUACUAAAGAACCCCCGAGUCACUCAGCAAUUGCUGUCCAGGAUCUCUGGAAGUAAAGCAGCAACAAAAACCAGUACAGGGGUAUUUAGAGAAACAGAAAUUAUCCAGAAAGAAGAAAAUCUCUUUUUUAAAAAGUAUUAGUUCCCUCAAAGGGAUGAAGUAUUGCAAACAUGAAAUAGGAACAGGAUUCUAUUUUAAGAAAAGCGACAUUCUGAAACCAAAAAAGUGCUCAUAAAGUUAAAAAUACGAUAUGAAAAAAAUUAAAGUCAGCAGCAGGCUUGGAAGCUAUAGAUGAGGAAAUCUCCCAGAAAGUAGAUCAAAAAGACAAAGAUAUAGAUAAUAGGAAAGAAAAGAUAAAAAACAAAACAAAACAAAACAAAAAAAACUAGAGAAACCAUCCAGAAGAUGCCAUCCAAAUAAGAGGAGUUCCAGAGAGAACAGAGAAACACAGGGGAGUACAUCAGCAACAAAACAACAAUAAAACAUGUCCCUAAGAGAGUGACAAGAAUUGCCAGAUUGAAAAGGCCCAUGAGUACCAAGUGAGACGGACAAAAAUAGACCCAUGCUGAAACAUAUCAUCGUGAAAUUUCGGAACACUAGGAGCAAAGAGAAGAUUUUAAAAAAUAAUUUCUGAUCAUUUUUAGACUACCUAAUCUGUCCAUUCCUUG